ensembl:lncRNA
GUAAGGAUGAUAUCUUCUCUUGAGUGUGUAUGUACAUGUGUGACUGUGUCUGUAUGUAAUGGGUUUCUAUUGUCAAACAUCACUCUGGGGAAGAUCUGGAAUAUUUUAGCGUGAGGGAGUAAAUAACUUUCCUUGCUUUGAAGGCAAACGGGAGGGUAGGGUGAGGACUUUGGGGCUACAGUUACCUAUAAAUGGCUUUUGGUGGCCCUGUCCUGUGGAGAAUCCUGGAAAAGCUCAGUUGGUAGUUAGUAAAUCAUUAACCAUAGGUUUUUGCUAAAAUCCUGUGUAAUUUGUGGCCCAAUGUUAGCUGGAUUUCAGGGAUAAGGGCAGAGUGUACAUUCACUUUGGGUCAGAGGAUUAAAGGAGCUUGUCUUCUCUGCCCAGACUGGCCUCCUCCCCUCUGAACCUGGUUGGUGAUGGCUAUAUUUCUUCAAGGGGAAAGGGGUCUGGGUGUCUUGGGCUGAGGGCUCCUGACAGAACAGGGAGCAAUGGUUAGGUGCCAGCUAACAGUGCAGGCAUGCGCUAUGGAGACAAAUGUCACAAGGACAGUUUUUCAGAAGGGGUGGACAACCUUGUUUUGGGAACUCUCAGUAUCAGGAGACCCCGCUUAUUUUUGUGGCAAGAUAAAGUUUCCAGACAAUGAAUUGCAUCUUCUGCUCAAGUUAUCAGGAUGCUGCUCCAUUAGGCUUUUCAGUUGGUCUCACCACCCACGAGGAUAGUGCUGCUUCCAGUGUUUCCCAGUUUCUUGUUUCUUCCUCUAAAUUUGAAAGUCACUGAAGGAACUCUUGUUCUGAUUUUAUCCAUCACUAUUACUCCUUCUAGGGACACUUGAUUGCUUUAUAACAAAAAUGCUGGUAAUACCAAGCGCAGCUAGUAAUUAUUGAAGGGUCACUACAUACCAGGCACUAUACUAAAAUGAUCAUAUGUGUUUAAGAUCAUGUCUUUUAAUUCUAACAACCCUAUGUAGAGAUAUUAUUAUUUCUUAAAUAAUGGAUGAGGAAAUUAAGGCUUAGAGGGUUUAACCUUUUGCCCAGUUAUCAUGCAUAGAUCAGAGCCCUGCUCAGGUCUGCCUGGCUUCUAAGUCAGAUCUCUUAGCCUCUUAGGUGCAUGGCUUUAUGAAUCUAGUUAUUACUAUACUUGGCUUCUUAAAAUAUUAACUGUGAAAAAAUUGAUGGGUUAAAGUGUGUGUUGAAAUUGUUAUUUGUUACAGGACAUUUGGAAAUGAGGAAUAUCAAAAAAAUGUGGGAAAACAAGCAAAGCAGAUCAGAGAUAGACUAAUGGUUGUAUUCCAGAGGGAGUUCGGUAACCUGGCAAGAGACUGGCAGUGGGAAUUGGAGUAAGAGAAGGCUGUGAGCAGACUUUCUUCUUUCUGGUGCUACUUGGAGGCCCAGAGACAGUGUUCUGGAGCAAAGUAAAAGUAGCAGCAUCAGAUGGGUGGGUGUGCAAGGCACAAGCUUUUUACAUUUGUGCGAGUGACUGGAGAGCAGAUUCUGGCUGUGUUCCUUAAGUACUGGAGAACAUGUUCUUAUGUAGGCAAGAGUCAGUUGUUUCUAAACCCAAGAUGUAUUUUCAGACUUUAGCAGCCUUCUCCACCUCCCUCUCCAUCCAUGUCACACCUCUGCCCGAGGGACAGAGUAAUGAGGAAGCUUUCUUGGAAGGCAUAUUAAAAGGAUUAGGUCAUUGAUCACUAAUGAGAUGUCCAGGAUCUAGUAACAAAUAGCAUCUCAGACCCUAACCUUGACGAGUUUGUGUUGAGAUGGUAACAGAAAUCAAAGAAUACAGAGACAGCAACUUCUUUUAUGACAGGCUGAACAGACAUAGUAAAUAGCAUUGAUAAUAAUAAAGAUAUGUAAUGAGCAAGAUUUUACUUUUUCUUUAGAGUAGAGCUGGAUGUACCUGACCGCAAUGUAGACUCAGAUUGUAGAUUUAAAAAUAUGAGAGGUUAUGCAAAUGUGGGACUCAGCAUAAUCAAUCAGCCAGCCAGCCCUGAGUGUAUUGAAUAGCUCUGACUAAUACAGUCAGCUCUGUGUGCCAUGCCAAAUGAUGACACAGUCUUUGACCUUCUCUAGAGAGGUGAAGAGGUGGAGAGGAGACAGAUGAGGGCCAGUUGAGAAGAGAGAUUCUAUGGACAAAGGAAUUCAGCAGUUAGCUUAAAUUAAGAGAAAAGAGAUUUUGGUUGGGAAUCAGCUCUAUUUGUGACUUUGCCAUAGUAGUGGAGUGAACUUGAACAGGCAAAAUUCUCUCUCCAGCCUUUCUAUUAUCCAUCUGUAAAAUGAAGGAGUUGAAGAUGGCGAUCUCUAAGGUCUUUCUAGAACUAAUGUUCUAAUAUAAUGGGACCUGUGGGUCUAAAUUAUUGGAGGAGUUAGCUCCUAAGUGGGCUAGAAAUGAGCAACAUGGACAGUGCACGCGUGAGUGUAUGUGUGUAUGUGUGUAAAAUAGAGAGAAAGCAAAGUAGGUGUGAGGUUUGGG